GACGAACGCUGGCGGCGUGCUUAACACAUGCAAGUCGAACGGAAAGGCCCUGCUUUUGUGGGUUUCUCGAGUGGCGAACGGGUGAGUAACACGUGAGUAACCUGCCCUUGACUUUGGGAUAACUUCAGGAAACUGGGGCUAAUACCGGAUAGGAGCUCCUGCUGCAUGGUGGGGGUUGGAAAUUUUCGGCGGUUGGGGAUGGACUCGCGGCUUAUCAGCUUGUUGGUGGGGUAGUGGCUUACCAAGGCUUUGACGGGUAGCCGGCCUGAGAGGGUGACCGGCCACAUUGGGACUGAGAUACGGCCCAGACUCCUACGGGAGGCAGCAGUGGGGAAUAUUGCACAAUGGGCGGAAGCCUGAUGCAGAAACGCCGCGGGCGGGAUGACGGCCCUCGGGUUGUAAACCGCUUUCGCAUGUGACGAAGAGUGAGUGACGGUAAUGGGUAAAGAAGCACCGGCUAACUACGUG
rnacentral:rRNA from 1 species